UAGAGACGAAGCAGGUGGACCCGAGCCAGAAAGGCGUCAAGAUGCAGGAGUUGACGAGGAGAGCAAACAAAACGGGGCGGCAUCAACCGAGGAAGAGAAACUGAACGAGGAACAAGUUGGUGAUCAAGACAAACCUCGGCUUAUCAGUCGCAGAUAUUUGCAAGUCUUCAUCCGAGGUCACUGCUUACAAAAACCAAAGAUAAUUUGUUUGCGAUUGGAUCCAGAGACAUCUGUCUUGAUCUUAAAAGUGAUAAUAAGCGAGAAAAUCGGUGUGCAUCCUCAGCAACAACGACUGUUCAUCCGAAGAAACUUUCGUAACUUUGAGCUCCACAACUUGCUGACACUUCACGACUGUGGAAUUCAUCAGGACGAGAACAUCUCACUCCGUCUGUGUACCGAUGGCCUACUGGGCGGGGGACCAAAAGACAAACACCCUGUCGGUGAUCAGUUCUUUCGAGACAUAGCUUCGAAAACUGAAUCAUUCUGGGAACAGUUGGCCAAAUCCCUGGGAUACGGAGAAGACGAAAUCAAGCAAUUCCAAAAAAUCUGC